rnacentral:rRNA from 1 species
CCCUUAGAUGUCCGGGGCUGCACGCGCGCUAAACUGAAGGAAUCAGCGUGCUAAAACCAUUGUCGAAAGGCAUUGGUAAACCCAUUAAAAUCCUACGUGAUUGGGAUCGGGAAUUGCAAUUAUUUCCCUUGAACGAGGAAUUCCCAGUAAGUGUGGGUCAUAAGCUCGCGUUGAUUACGUCCCUGCCCUUUGUACACACCGCCCGUCGCUGCCCGGGACUGAGCCGUUUCGAGAAAAGCGGGGACUGCUGCUGUCGGGGCUUUCGGGCCUUGGCUUCGGUGGAAACCGCUUUAAUCGCAGUGGCUUGAACCGGGCAAAAGUCGUAACA